UACGGAGGGUGCAAGCGUUAUCCGGAUUCACUGGGUUUAAAGGGUGCGUAGGUGGGCAGGUAAGUCAGUGGUGAAAUCUCUGGGCUUAACCCGGAAACUGCCAUUGAUACUAUCUGUCUUGAAUACCCUGGAGGUGAGCGGAAUAUGUCAUGUAGCGGUGAAAUGCUUAGAUAUGACAUAGAACACCCAUUGCGAAGGCAGCUCACUACAGGAAUAUUGACACUGAGGCACGAAAGCGUGGGGAUCAAACAGG
rnacentral:rRNA from 1 species